rnacentral:rRNA from 1 species
AUUGAACGCUGGCGGCAGGCCUAACACAUGCAAGUCGAGCGGAGCGGCGGACGGGUGAGUAAUGUAUAGCUAAUCUGCCCUACACUAGAGGACAACAGUUGGAAACGACUGCUAAUACUCUAUAGUGUAGGAUGAGGUAAUAUUGUAUCAGCUAGUUGGUGAGGUAAUGGCUCACCAAGGCUAUGACGCAUAACUGGUCUGAGAGGAUGAUCAGUAACACUCGAACUGAGACACAGGCCAGAAUCAUGCGGGAGGCAGCAGGAGGGAAUAUUGCUCAAUGGGGGAGACCCUAAAGCAGGAGCGCCGCGUGGAGGAUGACACUUUGCGAAGCGUAAACUCCUUUUGUUAGGGAAGCGGUACCUACCGAAUAAGCACCGGCUAACUCCGUGCCAGCAGCCGCGGUAAUUC